AUCGAACUCUGGACCUUACGCUUUCGAGGCAGGCGGUGGAACCACUGAGCUAAAUCCCCGGCCCAGGAGAGAUCCUCAAGACUUUCAGACAUUCUUUGUCUCUGGUCUUUUGUUUCACCCUUAGAUUUGAUCACUCCACAGGGACAGGCACUGUCCUCAGAACAGUGGGACGGAGUAAGCUCUGUGGUUCAUUUAUGGAGACUUGGAUCUAAGGCAAAUUACAGUGCAUCCUACUCUCCCCAAAUUAAUGGAGAUGUCUGAAUCUUGGGACAGAGGCAAUGGCCUAUAGUGAGCCAUACCCAGAAUGCAUCACUGGAAAGCAGAUAGUAACUAAAGAGAUCUCCCUACAAGCAACAAAAUCCUUUCACUGUAACUGACCCAAAACACUCAGCACAAAAAAAAAAGGAAAAAAAGAAAAAAGAAAUAUGAGAAAACAAGGCAACAGAAUACUCCCAAAGCUCCCACAUCCCCCAAAACUGAUCUAUGAAGUUUUGAUGAGAAGGAAAUCAAAAGUCAAACAACUGAAUUACACAAAGUGAUAAAAGAGGAAACAAACAAAGAGAAGAUCAACAGGAUGGUUGGC
ensembl:lncRNA